ensembl:snRNA U6 U6 spliceosomal RNA
GUGCUUGCUUUGGUAGCACAUAUACUAAAAUUGGAACGAUACAGAGAAGAUUAGCACGGCCCCUGCACAAGGAUGACACACAAAUUCGUGAAGCUUCCAUAUUUAA